rnacentral:rRNA from 1 species
UACGUAGGUCCCGAGCGUUGUCCGGAUUUAUUGGGCGUAAAGCGAGCGCAGGUGGUUUAUUAAGUCUGAUGUGAAAGCCUUCGGCUUAGCCGGAGUAGUGCAUUGGAAACUGGGAGACUUGAGUGCAGAAGAGGAGAGUGGAACUCCAUGUGUAGCGGUGAAAUGCGUAGAUAUAUGGAAGAACACCAGUGGCGAAAGCGGCUCUCUGGUCUGUAACUGACGCUGAGGUUCGAAAGCGUGGGUAGCAAACAGG